AUUGAACGCUGGCGGAAUGCUUUACACAUGCAAGUCGAACGGCAGCACGGACUUCGGUCUGGUGGCGAGUGGCGAACGGGUGAGUAAUACAUCGGAACGUGCCCAGUCGUGGGGGAUAACGUAGUGAAAAUUACGCUAAUACCGCAUACGAUCUAUGGAUGAAAGCGGGGGACCUUUGGGCCUCGCGCGAUUGGAGCGGCCGAUAUCAGAUUAGGUAGUUGGUGGGGUAAAGGCUCACCAAGCCAACGAUCUGUAGCUGGUCUGAGAGGACGACCAGCCACACUGGGACUGAGACACGGCCCAAACUCCUACGGGAGGCAGCAGUGGGGAAUUUUGGACAAUGGACGCAAGUCUGAUCCAGCCAUUCCGCGUGCAGGACGAAGGCCUUCGGGUUGUAAACUGCUUUUGUACAGAACGAAAAGGUUUCUACUAAUACUAGGAGCUCAUGACGGUACUGUAAGAAUAAGCACCGGCUAACUACGUGCCAGCAGCCGCCGUAA
rnacentral:rRNA from 1 species